rnacentral:rRNA from 1 species
GUUUGAUCCUGGCUCAGAACGAACGCUGGCGGCAGGCCUAACACAUGCAAGUCGAGCGCGCCCUUCGGGGUGAGCGGCGGACGGGUUAGUAACGCGUGGGAANGUACCCUUCUCUACGGAAUAGCCUUUGGAAACGAAGNGUAAUACCGUAUACGCCCUUCGGGGGAAAGAUUUAUCGGAGAAGGAUCAGCCCGCGUUAGAUUAGAUAGUUGGUGGGGUAAUGGCCUACCAAGUCUACGAUCUAUAGCUGGUUUUAGAGGNUGAUCAGCAACACUGGGACUGAGACACGGCCCAGACUCCUACGGGAGGCAGCAGUGGGGAAUCUUAGACAAUGGGCGCAAGCCUGAUCUAGCCAUGCCGCGUGAGUGACGAAGGCCUUAGGGUCGUAAAGCUCUUUCGCCAGAGAUGAUAAUGACAGUAUCUGGUAAAGAAACCCCGGCUAACUCCGUGCCAGCAGCCGCGGUAAUAAGG